rnacentral:sRNA from 1 species
AAACAAAUCCGGCAAAUUCACACACGUGUCAGCACGUUGUCCCAGGGUGCCGGACCUGCGUAAGAGCAGGGAACUGGUUGGGGCAAUCGGACGCGUGGAGGUCUAAC